ACGCUCGACACCUACGGGAGGCAGCAGUGGGGAAUAUUGGGCAAUGGGCGCAAGCCUGACCCAGCAACGCCGCGUGAAGGAAGAAGGCUUUCGGGUUGUAAACUUCUUUUGUCAGGGAACAGUAGAGGAGGGUACCUGACGAAUAAGCCACGGCUAACUACGUGCCAACAGCCGCGGUAAUCUGAGCGGGCUGGCAAGGC
rnacentral:rRNA from 1 species